UACGGGGGGAGCAAGCGUUGUUCGGAUUUACUGGGCGUAAAGGGCGCGUAGGCGGUCAGCACAAGUCAGUUGUGAAAUCUCCGGGCUUAACUCGGAAAGGUCAACUGAUACUGUGCGACUAGAGUGCGGAAGGGGCAACUGGAAUUCUCGGUGUAGCGGUGAAAUGCGCAGAUAUCAGGAGGAACACCGAUGGCGAAGGCAGGUCUCUGGGCCAUAACUGACGCUGAGAAGCGAAAGCAUGGGGAGCGAACAGG
rnacentral:rRNA from 1 species